UAUCUCUCCGUACGGGGAAGGAUGAGAAGCUUCGAAUAAGGUUCGAUUCGAGCGAAAGCGAGAAAGCGUUGCCGCAGGCAACGACCCGAAGGGCGAAGCGC
rnacentral:sRNA from 1 species